AAGUCGUAACAAGGUUUCCGUAGGUGAACCUGCGGAAGGAUCAUUACCAAAUCCAAAUCCCAACCCCAUGUGAACCUGUUUUUGUCUGUCUUUGGGGGUGGCACUGUGGACAGUGUAAAGCUUCCCUUUUGCUGCCCCCAAAUGAAUUCGGCACUCCGGUGCUUGGGUUCAACUGACUAAACUACUUUUAAACUUUGUUGGAAUACUUAUAUUAAAAACUAAUAUAAGACAACUCUUAACGGUGGAUCUCUUGGCUCGUG
rnacentral:misc_RNA from 1 species